rnacentral:rRNA from 1 species
AUUGAACGCUGGCGGCAGGCCUAACACAUGCAAGUCGAGCGAGUGGCGGACGGGUGAGUAAUGUAUGGGGAUCUGCCUGAUGGCGGGGGAUAACUACUGGAAACGGUAGCUAAUACCGCAUACCAUCGGAUGUGCCCAUAUGGGAUUAGCUAGUGGGUGGGGUAACGGCUUACCUAGGCGACGAUCCCUAGCUGGUCUGAGAGGAUGACCAGACACACUGGGACUGAGACACGGCCCAGACGCCUACGGGAGGCAGCAGUGGGGAAUAGUGCACAAGGGGCGCAAGCCUGAUGCAGCCAGGCCGCGUGUAUGAAGAAGGCCUUCGGGUUGUAAAGUACUUUCAGUAGGGAGGCGUUACCGACAGAAGAAGCACCGGCUAACUCCGUGCCAGCAGCCGCGGUAAUUC